rnacentral:rRNA from 1 species
AUGGGGACGGAGCGGAAGCGCAAGGUGAGCCUCUUCGACGUGGUUGACGAGACCUCCGUAUCCGCUAAGCUCGGCCGCGCCGGCAUCAAUGGUGCCGCCGCCGCGGCCAAUCCGUCCAUCAACCGGUGGAACGGCCGGCCCUACUCGGCGCGGUACCUAGAGAUCCUCGAGAAGCGCCGCACGCUCCCCGUCUGGCAGCAGAAGGACGAGUUCCUCCGCGUCCUCCGCGACAACCAGACCCUCAUCCUUGUCGGAGAAACCGGAAGUGGCAAGACCACUCAGAUCCCCCAAUUUGUGCUCGAGGCUGAAGGUCUGAGCAACCGCUCUAUGGUUGCCUGCACCCAGCCGCGGAGGGUUGCUGCAAUGUCGGUCUCUCGGCGUGUCGCGGAGGAGAUGGAUGUCACAAUCGGGGAGGAAGUUGGUUACAGUAUCCGAUUUGAAGAUUGCAGCAGUCACAAAACUGUUCUCAAAUAUUUGACAGAUGGUAUGCUUCUGAGAGAAGCAAUGGCAGACCCACUUUUAGAGAGGUACAAGGUGAUUGUUCUUGACGAGGCUCAUGAGCGCACGUUGGCAACGGAUGUUCUGUUUGGGCUUCUGAAGGAAGUUCUAAAGAACAGGCCUGACUUGAAGCUUGUUGUUAUGAGUGCUACUCUUGAGGCAGAGAAGUUUCAGGGUUAUUUCAGUGGUGCACCAUUGAUGAAGGUUCCUGGUAGACUUCAUCCUGUUGAGAUCUUCUAUACACAGGAACCAGAAAGGGACUAUCUAGAAGCUGCUAUCAGGACAGUUGUGCAGAUACAUAUGUGUGAACCUGCUGGUGAUAUCCUUGUAUUCCUUACUGGAGAAGAGGAGAUUGAGGAUGCGUGUCGGAAAAUAAACAAGGAAGUUAAUAACAUGGGUGAUCAGGUUGGCCCAGUUAAAGUCGUGCCAUUGUACUCUACUCUCCCCCCUGCAAUGCAGCAGAAGAUUUUUGACCCUGCUCCACCUCCAUUGAAAGAGGGAGGUCCUGCUGGAAGGAAAAUUGUUGUGUCCACAAACAUUGCUGAGACAUCCCUAACCAUUGAUGGUAUAGUGUAUGUUAUAGAUCCAGGGUUUUCCAAACAGAAGGUUUACAAUCCAAGGAUAAGGGUGGAAUCCCUUUUGGUGUCUCCAAUUUCCAAGGCAAGUGCGCAUCAGCGAGCUGGUCGUGCUGGAAGAACACAGCCUGGGAAGUGCUUCAGGUUGUACACAGAGAAGAGUUUUAAUGGUGAUUUACAGCCACAGACCUACCCAGAAAUUCUUCGGUCAAACUUGGCAAAUACAGUUCUUACUCUGAAGAAGCUUGGAAUUGAUGAUUUAGUGCAUUUUGACUUCAUGGAUCCUCCUGCGCCCGAAACUCUAAUGAGGGCCUUGGAAGUUCUGAACUACUUGGGGGCACUCGACGAUGAAGGCAACCUAACAUCUUUAGGUGAAAUGAUGAGUGAGUUCCCCUUAGACCCACAGAUGUCAAAGAUGCUUGUCAUCAGUCCAAGGUACAACUGUUCAAAUGAGAUCCUCUCAAUAUCUGCCAUGCUAUCAGUACCCAAUUGCUUUCUCCGGCCUAGGGAGGCACAAAAGGCUGCUGAUGAGGCGAAGGCUCGAUUUGGGCACAUCGAUGGGGAUCAUCUGACACUUUUGAACGUGUACCAUGCAUACAAGCAAAACAAUGAGGAUCCUACAUGGUGUUAUGAGAAUUUUGUCAAUGCCCGGGCGAUGAAGUCUGCUGAUAAUGUUAGACAACAACUUGUGCGCAUCAUGACCAGAUUCAACCUCAAGAUGUGCAGUACAGACUUCAACAGUCGUGAGUACUAUGUCAACAUCAGGAAAGCAAUGCUUUCAGGGUACUUUAUGCAGGUUGCUCAUCUGGAGCGAACUGGGCAUUACUUGACCGUUAAGGAUAAUCAGGUUGUCCAUCUUCAUCCCUCGAAUUGCAUGGACCAUAAGCCGGAAUGGGUCAUCUACAAUGAAUAUGUUUUGACCACCAGGAAUUUCAUCCGCACAGUCACCGAUAUCCGUGGAGAGUGGCUGAUCGAUAUAGCUCCACAGUACUAUGAUCUGACCAAUUUCCCAUCAUGUGAGGCCAAGCGUGUUCUUGAGAGGCUACACAAUAAGAGGGAGAGGGAAAGAGCUGCUAGUAGGAACUGA